GUCGAACGGAAAGGCCCUUCGGGGUACUCGAGUGGCGAACGGGUGAGUAACACGUGGGUGAUCUGCCCUGCACUUUGGGAUAAGCCUGGGAAACUGGGUCUAAUACCGAAUACACCCUGCUGGUCGCAUGGCCUGGUGGGGGAAAGCUUUUGCGGUGUGGGAUGGGCCCGCGGCCUAUCAGCUUGUUGGUGAGGUUACGGCUCACCAAGGCGACGACGGGUAGCCGGCCUGAGAGGGUGACCGGCCACACUGGGACUGAGAUACGGCCCAGACUCCUACGGGAGGCAGCAGUGGGGAAUAUUGCACAAUGGGCGCAAGCCUGAUGCAGCGACGCCGCGUGAGGGAUGACGGCCUUCGGGUUGUAAACCUCUUUCGCCAGGGACGAAGCGCAAGUGACGGUACCUGGAGAAGAAGGACCGGCCAACUACGUGCCAGCAGCCGCGGUAAUACGUAGGGUCCGAGCGUUGUCCGGAAUUACUGGGCGUAAAGAGCUCGUAGGUGGUUUGUCGCGUUGUUCGUGAAAACUCACAGCUCAACUGUGGGCGUGCGGGCGAUACGGGCAGACUAGAGUACUGCAGGGGAGACUGGAAUUCCUGGUGUAGCGGUGGAAUGCGCAGAUAUCAUGAGGAACACCGGUGGCGAAUGCGGGUCUCUGGGCAGUAACUGACGCUGACGAGCGAAAGCGUGGGGAGCGAACAGGAUUAGAUACCCUGGUAGUCCACGCCGUAAACGGUGGGUACUAGGUGUGGGUUUCCUUCCUUGUGAUCCGUGCCGUAACUAACGCAUUAAGUA
rnacentral:rRNA from 1 species